GAGUCCUCCGCGACAUCCGGGCCAGCGUCUGCACCCAGCCACGUGUCCUGCCCCUGAAACACUCUGUCUUCCUGCUUUGAGGACAGCUGAAGUCUUGCCACUUCUUCUGGAUGCUCUGACCAUCAGUAAGAGACACGGUCUGACUUUGUUACCCCGGCUGGAGUGCAGUGGUGCAAUCAUGGCUCACUGCAGCCUUAACCUCCUGGGCUCAAGUGAUCCUCUCGCCAAGGCUAGGAUAAGUAGCUAGGACUACAGAUGCGCCCCAUCACGCCCAGCUAAUUUUACAACUUCUGUAGAGAUGGAGUGUUGCUGGGUUGCCCAGGCUGGUCUUGAAUUCCUGGGCUCAAGCGAUCCUCCUGUGUCCGGAAUUGGUGGGUUCUUGGUCUCACUGACUUCAAGAAUGAAGCCGCGGACCCUCGCGAGUCUGUAUCCACCAGCUACUCUUCCAGAUUCAUGAGGCAAGGCCUGCCUGCUCACCUGGCUGGCCCCAAGCACCUCUUCAACCUGUUGCCACCGUCCUGCCUUGCUGCCCUUCUCAGCUCAUCCAGCAGGGUCUCCAAGUCGUGGAAACAGAAGCACAUAUACACACAUGCUCAUAUGUACAUGCCCACAGUCACAUAAGCACACCGAGAAACACCAUCGCAGACAUGUUCUCACAAGCACAUGUGCAUAACACUCACUACCCCUCACGCGUAUACACAUUAAUACACACACUCAUGCACACUCAGUCUUACACACACAGACACACAGCCAUAAUCACUGUUGUUGGUUGAAUUGUGCCCCCCCAUCCCCACCAAAAAGAUAAGUUGGAGUCCUAACCCCCAGUACCUGGGGAUGUGACCGUAGUUGGAAAUAGGGUGUUUGUAGAUGUAAUCAAAUUAAGAUGAGAUCUUACUGGAUUAGAGUGGGCCUUAAAUCCAGUGACUGGUGUCCUUAUAAGGAGAAAAAGAUUUGAAAACAGAGACAUGGAGACACAGAGCAGAAGGCCAUGUGAUGAUGGAGUCAGAGAUUGGAGUGAUGCAGCUAUGAGCCGAGAAAUACCAAGGUGCUGGCAGCCCCCAGAAGCAAGGAGAGAGGCAAGGAACAAUCUCCAUCAGAGCCUCUGGAAGAAACAGACUCUGCCAACACCUUGAUUUCAGACUUUUGGCCUCCUUCACUGUGCGAGAAUACGUUUCUGUUGUUUUAAACUACUGAGUCACCAAGUCUGUGGUACUGUGUUAUGGCAGCCCCGGCAACAAAUCCAAUCACACACACACACACACACACACACACACACACACACACACACACACACACAGCUGGCUCCAGGCUCAGUGAUGAGCUCAGAGGAGUUCCCCUUGGGAGCUGCUCUUUCUCUGUCUUCCUUCCUUAGUGAUUGGUCCAGUGGAUCCACAAAAGCUCAUGGCCCAGAGCAGGAGCCCAGUCAUUUUUAAUUCCUCUUCCCUGGAGUUCUUAACCAUGCGUUGCCCUCAAAAUCUGCUCUCAAGAUUUGGGUUGCCAUAUUUAGGAGCACCAGAAAACAUACAGGAAUGCUGUGUCUGCUUGCAUCAUAUUAAUUAAAAACUGGAAAUAACCUAAAUGUCCCAGAAUAGGUACAUAAACUGUGGCAUAUCCACUUAAUGGAAUACUACUCAGCAAUACAAAAGGAAAACCUAGUGUUACUUGAGCAACAUGGAUGAACUUCACAGACAUAAUAUUGCACAGCACGAGGCAGACACAAAAGUGUGCAUAUGCUAUGAUUCCAUUUACAUGAGAUUCAAGAACAGGCAAAGCAGAUCUAUGGGGAUAGAAGUCAGAAUAGUGGUUACCUCUGGAAGGUGGAAUUGACUGGGAGGGGCUUCAGGGAACCUCCUGGGGUGCUGAAAACAUUCUGUGCUUGCACCGGGUGGUGGUUAUGUGGGCAUUACAUAAAAUUCACCAAGCUGCACCCUUAAUGAUUUGUACAAUUUGAUGCACAAAUCUAACAUCUCAAGAAGAAUAAAUUUUACAAAGUACCUAAGAAGCAAAUGACCAGAA
rnacentral:lncRNA from 1 species